rnacentral:rRNA from 1 species
GUCAGUCAGGGGUGAAAGCCCGGGGCUUAACCUCGGAACUGCCUUUGAUACUGCUAAUCUAGAGUCCGGCAGAGGUGAGUGGAAUUCCUAGUGUAGAGGUGAAAUUCGUAGAUAUUAGGAAGAACACCAGUGGCGAAGGCGGCCUCCUGGGCUGCUCCUGACGCUGAAGGCGAAAGCUAGGGGAGCGAACGGGAUUAGAAACCCCGGUAGUCCUAGCUGUAAACGAUGGAUGCUAGAUGUAAGGGGUAUAGAUUCCCUCUGUGUCGGAGCUAACGCGUUAAGCAUCCCGCCUGGGGAGUACGGCCGCAAGGCUAAAACUCAAACGAAUUGACGGGGGCCCGCACAAGCAGCGGAGCGUGUGGUUUAAUUCGAUGCUACACGAAGAACCUUACCUAGGCUUGACAUGUAGGUAGUAGUGAAGUGAAAGCGGAUCGACCCUUCGGGGAGCCUACACAGGUGCUGCAUGGCUGUCGUCAGCUCGUGCCGUGAGGUGUCGGGUUAAGUCCCGUAACGAGCGCAACCCUUGCCCUUAGUUAUACGUGUCUAAGGGGACUGCCGGCGGUAAGCCGGAGGAAGGUGAGGAUGACGUCAAGUCAGCAUGGCCUUUAUGUCUAGGGCUACACACACGCUACAAUGGUCGGUACAAUGGGUUGCCAAGCCGCGAGGUGGAGCCAAUCCCCUAAAGCCGAUCUCAGUUCGGAUUGCAGACUGC